rnacentral:rRNA from 1 species
GAUGAACGCUGGCGGCGUGCCUAAUACAUGCAAGUAGAACGCUGAAGGAAGGAGCUUGCUCUUUCCGGAUGAGUUGCGAACGGGUGAGUAACGCGUAGGUAACCUGCCUGGUAGCGGGGGAUAACUAUUGGAAACGAUAGCUAAUACCGCAUAACAGUAGAUGUUGCAUGAUAUCUACUUAAAAGGUGCAAUUGCACCACUACCAGAUGGACCUGCGUUGUAUUAGCUAGUUGGUGAGGUAACGGCUCACCAAGGCGACGAUACAUAGCCGACCUGAGAGGGUGAUCGGCCACCCUGGGACUGGGACACGGCCCAGACUCCUACGGGAGGCAGCAGUAGGGAAUCUUCGGCAAUGGACGGAAGUCUGACCGAGCAACGCCGCGUGAGUGAAGAAGGUUUUCGGAUCGUAAAGCUCGGUUGUAAGAGAAGAACGAGUGUGAGAGUGGAAAGUUCACACUGUGACGGUAUCUUACCAGAAAGGGACGGCUAACUACGUG